UUGGACUCAGCCUAUGGGUCUCGAUGACUGAACACACAAUCUCAUGGCAGUUCCUGUGAAGAGUGAGAAUAUAACUUAUGACACAAUAAUGUUUUGUUGUGUUCCAAUAUUACCCCCUCCAUGACAACCACACUACAGCCAUUAUGCACAUAAGCACCAAGGACAGAGAAUGCAGGCAACCGAUUCAAAUGUGAGGGCCAGGAUCGAGUCACUACAACGGGCCAAAAGUGCCAAGUUUGGGUCGUAGACAUAACGCUUAUGUUUCUGGUUGUAAUGGAUGCCAAGGACCUAAAGUCGACAGUGUGGCGGAUGCUACGUUGCAUUCUGUCAAACAGUCUUGCCAUCACCACCACAUAGGCAGGAGAUGAGGCCUGUUUCGUGAACUUGUUUCUGAUGACCAUUCUUCACAGUACGUUUUUAUAUAAAUGUGUUACAUUUGUUUUGUGUACUUUAUAUGUAAAUUCUUAAACUUGUUUAAGACCAUCUGGGAUUCAUACGUAACUCCAUUGUCUUUCUUUGUGUACAGAAAUUGACCGACAUACUUUCCGUGUAUACUUUCAUAUAAAUGAUAUGCUGUAACUGUACAGUACCUUUUCCACUCACUAUACACAUGGACAAACUAUGUCCACAGCCUUCUGUAUCCCUAUAGGCUUUUUACAUC